rnacentral:rRNA from 1 species
UCGGUCUGGCGGCGAGUGGCGAACGGGUGAGUAAAGUAUCGGAACGUGCCCAGUAGCGGGGGAUAACUACUCGAAAGAGUAGCUAAUACCGCAUACGCCCUACGGGGGAAAGGGGGGGAUCGCAAGACCUCUCACUAUUGGAGCGGCCGAUAUCGGAUUAGCUAGUUGGUGAGGUAAAGGCUCACCAAGGCGACGAUCCGUAGCUGGUUUGAGAGGACGACCAGCCACACUGGGACUGAGACACGGCCCAGACUCCUACGGGAGGCAGCAGUGGGGAAUUUUGGACAAUGGGGGCAACCCUGAUCCAGCCAUCCCGCGUGUGCGAUGAAGGCCUUCGGGUUGUAAAGCACUUUUGGCAGGAAAGAAAUCGCAUAGAUUAAUACUCUGUGUGGAUGACGGUACCUGCAGAAUAAGCACCGGCUAACUACGUGCCAGCAGCCGCGGUAAUACGUAGGGUGCAAGCGUUAAUCGGAAUUACUGGGCGUAAAGCGUGCGCAGGCGGUUCGGAAAGAAAGAUGUGAAAUCCCAGGGCUUAACCUUGGAACUGCAUUUUUAACUCCCGAGCUAGAGUGCGUCAGAGGGGGGUGGAAUUCCGCGUGUAGCAGUGAAAUGCGUAGAUAUGCGGAGGAACACCGAUGGCGAAGGCAGCCCCCUGGGAUGACACUGACGCUCAUGCACGAAAGCGUGGGGAGCAAACAGG